GAUGAACGCUGGCGGCGUGCCUAAUACAUGCAAGUCGAGCGAACGGACGAGAAGCUUGCUUCUCUGAUGUUAACGGCGGACGGGUGAGUAACACGUGGAUAACCUACCUAUAAGACUGGGAUAACUUCGGGAAACCGGAGCUAAUACCGGAUAAUAUUUUGAACCGCAUGGUUCAAAAGUAAAAGACGGUCUUGCUGUCACUUAUAGAUGGAUCCGCGCUGCAUUAGCUAGUUGGUAAGGUAACGGCUUACCAAGGCAACGAUGCAUAGCCGACCUGAGAGGGUGAUCGGCCACACUGGAACUGAGGCACGGUCCAGACUCCUACGGGAGGCAGCAGUAGGGAAUCUUCCGCAAUGGGCGAAAGCCUGACGGAGCAACGCCGCGUGAGUGAUGAAGGUCUUCGGAUCGUAAAACUCUGUUAUUAGGGAAGAACAUAUGUGUAAGUAACUGUGCACAUCUUGACGGUACCUAAUCAGAAAGCCACGGCUAACUACGUG
rnacentral:rRNA from 1 species